GGUUCCAUAGUGUAGAGUGAGCACAACUGCUUUACACGCAGAAGGUCCUGGGUUUGUGCCCCAGUGGAGCAC
rfam:Pteropus alecto contig88304, whole genome shotgun sequence.